rnacentral:rRNA from 1 species
UACGUAGGGGGCAAGCGUUGUCCGGAUUUAUUGGGCGUAAAGCGCUCGCAGGUGGUUCAUUGCGUCGUGCGUGAAAGACCCUGGCUCAACUGGGGGGUGUCGUGCGAAACGGGUGAACUAGAGGCCAGUAGGGGGAUGCGGAAUUCCGGGUGUAGUGGUGGAAUGCGUAGAGAUCCGGAGGAACACCAGCGGCGAAGGCGGCAUCCUGGACUGGUCCUGACACUCAGGAGCGAAAGCGUGGGGAGCGAUCCGGAUUAGAUACCCGGGUAGUCCACGCUGUAAACGAUGAGUACUAGGUGUUGGGGGUAUCGACCCCCUCAGUGCCGAAGCUAACGCGAUAAGUACUCCGCCUGGGGACUACGGCCGCAAGGCUAAA